rnacentral:rRNA from 1 species
GCUUGUCUCAAAGAUUAAGCCAUGCAUGUCUAAGUAUAAAUCUCUUACUUUGAAACUGCGAACGGCUCAUUAUAUCAGUUAUAGUUUAUUUGAUAAUUGAAAAUUACAUGGAUAACCGUGGUAAUUCUAGAGCUAAUACAUGCUAUCAAGCCCGACUUCUUGAAGGGUUGUAUUUAUUAGACUUAAGCCAAUAUUCCUUGUGUCUAUUGCGAUGAUUCAUAAUAACUGAUCGAAUCUCAAAUUUGAGAUAAAUCAUUCAAGUUUCUGCCCUAUCAGCUUUCGAUGGUAGUGUAUUGGACUACCAUGGCAGUAACGGGUAACGAAGAAUUAGGGUUCGAUUUCGGAGAGGGAGCAUGAGAAACGGCUACCACAUCUAAGGAAGGCAGCAGG